rnacentral:misc_RNA from 1 species
GAUGAAGAACGUAGCGAAAUGCGAUAAGUAAUGUGAAUUGCAGAAUUCAGUGAAUCAUCGAAUCUUUGAACGCACCUUGCGCUCCUUGGUAUUCCGAGGAGCAUGCCUGUUUGAGUGUCAUUAAAUUCUCAACCUUUCCAGCUUUUGCGAGUUUGGAUUGGCUUGGAUGUGGAGGUUUGCAGGCUUCUCAGAAGUCAGCUCCUCUUAAAUGCAUUAGCGGAACCUUUGUGGACCAGCUUUUGUGUGAUAAUUAUCUAUGCCAUGGUUGUGAAGCAGUUUUUAUAUGGGGUUCAGCUUCUAACAGUCCAUUGACUUGGACAAUUUCUGACAUUUUGACCUCAAAUCAGGUAGGACUACCCGCUGAACUUAAGCAUAUCAAUAAGCGGAGGA